rnacentral:rRNA from 1 species
AUGAACGCUGGCGGCGCGCCUAAUACAUGCAAGUCGAGCGAGAAGACGUAGCAAUACGUUUGUAAAGCGGCGAACGGGUGAGGAAUACAUGGGUAACCUACCCUAGAGUGGGGAAUAACUAGCCGAAAGGUUAGCUAAUACCGCGUACGCUCCUUGGACUUCGGUUCAGGGAGGAAAGCGAUGCCGAGGGUAUCGCGCUCUUGGAUGGGCUCAUGUCCUAUCAGCUUGNGGUGAGGUAACGGCUCACCAAGGCUUCGACGGGUAGCUGGUCUGAGAGAACGAUCAGCCACACUGGCACUGCGACACGGGCCAGACUCCUACGGGAGGCAGCAGUAAGGAAUAUUGCGCAA